GCGCGGUUGGCGUAGUGGUCUAACGCAUACACACCGAAAAAGCCACUUUGUGCGAAGGGUGUGAGUUCAAUGCCAACCCGAGCACGCAAAAGUCCGAACUGGGGAGGGUGGUGGCGCACCUAAAUCACAGACAAAAAAGUGGCACGGAAGUGUAAGAACCCGGGUUCGAAUCCCGGACCGCGCA